UAAAUCAAAAUGAUUGUCAAGAGGUCUGUGGAAUGGAAGAUGGAUGUCAAAUGAUCUCCGUUUCAAAGUGACAGAAAAUAUUGAGAAAUGCUUAUUUGUAUGCAAUUUGCCACAUUAAGGUGUAUGAGACUGGAGGUUCUGUCUUUCUUGACUCUUUUCUUUUUUUCUAUUUUGGUUUUCUGCAAAUCAGAGUUUGGCAACUAGUCUUGGAUUUCUGUUAUUUUUAGGGGAAGAGGAAGAUGAUCUAUGUUUCUACUUCGUUAAACUACAUACUAUGAAGGUUAGGCUGUUGCAAGUUUUUUCAAGUGUUUGGGUGAUGAUGAAUAAAUGGACUAGAAGAUUGUCCCAAAUGCUGGAAGAAGUUAGAGGGGAAAUAGAACCUUAUUUUAUCAAGCAUGCUGCUAUCUUGGAUGAGGACAACCGAAAACUACCAAAGCUCAACGAUAACUCUGUGGAUUACAUGAGGCAAGAGUUCAUGUAAUACAUGAAUGGGCCUGGGUAGGUACUCCAAAUGAAGAGGCUGCUUAGCUCCAUUUGCAGAGACUAGCUGAUACAUGGCACGGGAUACUGUUAAUUCUAGUGAUUGGAGGAGUUGUCAUUGGCAUGAUGCAUGGAUUACUUGAAAUUUUUGACCAAAUAAAGCAGCCAAGGUCUUCUCAGAGGCAGGGCUUUGAUCUACUGGCUGGAGUCUUCCCUAGAAUAAAGGCCAUACAGGCUGCUGUAACAUUAGGCACUGGUUGUUCUUUAGGUCUUGAGGGACCCAAUGUUGAUAUUGGUAAAUCAUGUGCAAAUGGGUGUUUGGCAAUGAUGGAAAACAACAAUGAAAGGAGGAUAGCUCUCGUGGCAGCUGGUGCAACUUAUGGAAUUUCUUCAAGUUCGGUAUUUCUCUCAAUUUUCUGCUCUGCAGAUGUGAAUGGUUAGUCUAGUUAAAUGACUGACCAUGUCUUUGUCGAAAGUUGCUUUGAAAGCCACCUCUACAUGGGCCUGGGGUUUUGACAAACUGAAAGAGACAGUUGAGAAGUGGGAGGGCAUAGUAAAGGCAUCGGCAUGAUUUAAUCUAAAGCUUUUUGCUGACAAAGACACAUACGAAGCCAUGGAUGAACUUGCAAAGCUGCAGAACAAGACUGCUCACCAACUGACCAUGGAAGUCAUCCGUAACUUUGUUGCCGCCCAACAAAAUGGCAAAAGUGAAUGAUCAGCCCCUUUUUUAGUUGUUGCUAUUUGUUGAAUAAAUACCAGUUCAGAUGAACUUAUCUUUUUUCUUUUUUCUAAAUCAUGGAUGAGUGAGACUUAGUUGAAAAGAACUUGAGAUAUAUAACCAUCUACUUGGCUGUUGCAUCAUUUUCCCCUGUACAAACAGUUUUGAUUUUGAUUUUUUUUCUUUUAAGUACAAAGCGAUCCCUUUGUCAUAAGGCCAUGUUAUGAAAUGAAGAUUGUAAU